GCCGCGGUAGCUCAGUUGGUAGAGCAUCGCGCGCGCAAGGCGAAGGUUGUGGGUUCGGUUCCCACCUGCGGCA